rnacentral:misc_RNA from 1 species
GUUGGAGAAGGGCCAGUGUAUCCCUGAACUCUUACUAAAUCCUAUCUCUUUGUACCCAUCACAAUUAACCUCUUCCUUGACCACAGCCAAUGGUUCCUUUGAGUUCAGACCCAUAAAAUCUCUCUCCAUUUUACCUCUCCUACCUCUCAAAAAACGAGAACACAAAAUUUAACUGAAACCCACCUCACCAAACUAGUCCGAAGACUGUAAAUUCACAGAUCAAUCCCUCCAAUCCUAUCCCAAACCUCAGUUUAUAGAGAGGAACUAGAGAGAGAAAAACCAAAACAAAAGCUUCCAACUACAGCAAAAGGCAGAGAGAGAGAGAGAGAGAGAGAG